GACGAACGCUGGCGGCGUGCUUAACACAUGCAAGUCGAACGGUAAGGCCCCAGCUUGCUGGGGUACACGAGUGGCGAACGGGUGAGUAACACGUGGGUGACCUGCCCCGCACUUCGGGAUAAGCCUGGGAAACUGGGUCUAAUACCGGAUAGGACCGCACCGUGAGGGUGUGGUGGAAAGUUUUUCGGUGUGGGAUGGGCCCGCGGCCUAUCAGCUUGUUGGUGGGGUAAUGGCCUACCAAGGCGGCGACGGGUAGCCGGCCUGAGAGGGUGGACGGCCACAUUGGGACUGAGACACGGCCCAGACUCCUACGGGAGGCAGCAGUGGGGAAUAUUGCACAAUGGGCGGAAGCCUGAUGCAGCGACGCCGCGUGGGGGAUGACGGCCUUCGGGUUGUAAACUCCUUUCACCAUCGACGAAGGUUUUCUGACGGUAGAUGGAGAAGAAGCACCGGCUAACCACGUG
rnacentral:rRNA from 1 species